AACAGGGCUGUCUUCGUUUGUAUUUCUAGGCCAGGAAUUGUUGGAGCCCUGGCACGCGGAACCAAAUUGUCGGUGUGCGGGGGGGGGGGGGUGGUGAUUCGCGUUCGUCCCAGCAGCGAACCGGGACGCCCCGGUCUGAGGCGCACACAGGGUGCCCGGAAGCCUGGGUCUGCAGCUCACCUGCGCGCACUUCGCAGUACACACAUGCAGCUCACGCACACGGGAAGGCAGGCAAAGCUCAGACCCCGACUCGAACCAACUGCCGCGGUCAUCCUUCCCCUGGUCAGCGCACCGCUGCGGGGGGGGCGAAGGCGAGGGUGCCCGGUCUCAAAGCAACUUUGGCAGGGACGGUCCUGCUCCCCAAGCCUCCCCGGCGCCCCACGUCCUGAAGCCAAGCAAGCGGGCGCCGAGAUGAGCGUGGCGGAAAGAGAGAAGCGGAGCUUUCCUGCAAUUCCGGGGCGUCGGUGCGGGCCCUUCUCUGAGGAGGGUGUUAAAAAUAUAAGUAGUAUGUUUAAACUGUCAGGGAGCCCAAGUGUCACCUUAGAGCAAAAACAAAGCCGGGGGAAAAGGCAGAAAUCAAAAAGCACUGCGGGCCAGGGUGGCCUCAUGCAUACCAAUGGUUUUUGUCAUUUAUGGCUGGGCAAGAUUUAUGACUCGGAGCCCCAAAGCUGUAAACAGAGCACAAAACAGCAAACACUUGCUCCUGGCGGCAUAUUGCGGCGGCGCAACUUGAAAGGGGGAGCCGGGCCGCGUGGGAGAGAAAAAUGCCUCUUGCUGAUUUCCGCCUCCAGAGCUUACCCACCGCUGCCGCCGCGCCCGGGCAAACCGCGCAGACCUCACCCGGUUCCGCCAAACCCCACGCUCUCUUUCUCUGCGGAGAGGACCCCUUGGCCCCAUGGAUCCCCCCCACCCCCGUGUUUCUGA
rnacentral:lncRNA from 1 species